CAAAAGUAAACUACAUUGAAUUUGAGGAGGAAAGGAAACGAUACAAACAAAAAAAAAAUUCUAGUGUCAUUCAACAAACACCCCUAUCUUCAAAGUCUCGUAACUUUAUAAGUUGGACACGGUAUGGAGAAAACUAAAGAAGAUGUAAUAACUGGUGGUAAGAAAGUUAAAGAUGGUGCAACUUUGGGGUUUCAAUGGACAAAAAAGAUACUAAGACCACCUAGGAAUCUAUUUUACAAAAACAAAUGUGUUUUUCCAAAUCUGACGGCUCUAGAUGAGCGUGUUAUGGCGAUCGACGACCACUAUUUCUUUAAAAGUGCAAAAGACAAAUUGUGGCUAAGAAUGAACCCUCAUCUCAUGCUGGGAUCCGACGUCCCAGAUCUCUUUGCAUUUGAUCCCCUCUUCCGUUACAAAACCCAUAACCACUGAAUCCUCAUUUCACUUAACCUCCUCUUCCGUUAAAAGAAAUAAAUUAGGGCUAUUCAAUUCCUUAGAAUCAUUUAAUUUGAUGCUUUACGGUAGCUCUAUAUUCCCUUACAUAAACCUCAACAUAGGUUAUCAUCUUCCCAUGUUUCUUCAUUUCUUUCUUCCGCAUACUCUCUCGAGACUAUUAGGCUGACCAAAUAAUAAUCAUUCAAAGCUGAAAAAGAAAACGCAUCGAAGGAACUCAAUAGCAUUUCUUCAAAGAUGAAUCUCAAUUAUCAAUCAUAAACCAGAUUUUGGUUGGUGGAGGACUUUGAGAAAAGAAUCAACAUUCAUAAUGAAUAUUGGUGGUGUACUUAGCAUACAGCUUUUAUCCAUGAUCCAUCGCAGAUGUGGUGGUCGUCGUUCGUGAUGGUGGUGUUUUUUGUAUGCAGUGGUGGUGGAGACAUGGCGAUUACUGAUAUAUAUUAUACUAUGACCUCUUCUUUUUUCUGGUGAGGAUGAUGUUGAUGGAUGUCUUGAGUAUUAUGUAGAUCUUGCAGGAGCUGCAAAUUCCAAGCACAAGAUUCCUUUUAACGUCCCAAAUCCCACUCAAGGACAUUCAAGAUUCAUGUUCUCAAGGAACCUUGGUUGAUCCCUGGUUAUACAUGUUUCUUCUUCAAUCUUUGUAAACUCUUGGUUACAUUGUCCUGUAACUUUUUUAGGGGUACAUACCCAUCUUGUAAAUCCAAUUUCAUAGAUAAGAUAAUCAUAUAUGUAAAUUCCUUUUGAUGUUAAUGAUGGAUUUAGGCAAGGUUUUUUUGUGAUA